rnacentral:tRNA from 1 species
GAAAAAUUUAGUUAAAAUAUAACAUUAGUUUGUCAAGCUAAAAUUAUUAUAAAUAUAAUAAUUUUU